CAAACGCAGUCGGAAGCGCUUGCAAUAGUCCCGAUCCAAUUUUUUGUGCCGCCAUCCCAGCAAACAACCACUGACGCAGAUUCCGAACCAACCCCUAUGCUACAGAUUGAAGGGGCUAGAGAAACCACUCCUGAAACCCCCAAACAACAUCAAGAAACAACACCCAAGCUUCCCCCAGCUCCAACAAAAAUUCAUCCAGACGCCGAGGACGCUGCUGCCCU